UCCGUAGGUGAACCUGCGGAAGGAUCAUUAAUGAAGCUCAUGGGUGGGCUGUAGCUGGCCCCCCCCCUCUCCCCCUCUGUCAAAUAGAGGGGUUGUAGCUGGCCUUAGGGGGGCAUUUUUGUGCACGCCUGUUCCAUCUUCUCCAACUCCUUUCUCAUAACAAUCCCUUGUGAAUGCAUUUGCAUAGUGGUGGAAGUGUUUCUGGGAGGCUUUGUCCUUCGUUCCCUGUACCUGCCCUUUGAGAGCUCCCUGUUUCAUCCUGUACACUCCCUUAUGCAUGUAAUCUGGAAUGUGUAUGGUGCAUUAUUUAACACAUCUAUAUACAACUUUCAGCAACGGAUCUCUUGGCUCUCGCAUCGAUGAAGAACGCAGCGAAAUGCGAUAAGUAAUGUGAAUUGCAGAAUUCAGUGAAUCAUCGAAUCUUUGAACGCACCUUGCGCUCCUUGGCUAUUCCUUGAGGAGCACGCCUGUUUGAGUGUCGUGUAAUUCUCAACCUACAUGUUCCCUUCUUGAAUGAAAGAGAGGGGGGUUUGUUAGGUUUGGACUAUUGGAGGGCCCCUUUUUGCUGGCAAUGUUGUUGCUGGCUCCUCUGAAAUGCAUCAGCGAGAGAGUGGGCAUGCACUGGUGUGCGCAUCCCAUGCAUGUAGUGUGUGGUGUGCAUUGCGUUUGCUGAGCUUUCCCCAUCAUCUCGUCUCUCGGUGUGAUAAAGCUUUGUCUUAUGCCGUUCGACCGUGAAGCGUUUUGUUGGUCAUGUAGUGCUCUCUUACAGUUGUGCGAGUCCUCAUUUACCUUGGGGCAAGCCUUUUUCUUUUGAACCCUUUGACCUCAAAUCAGGUGGGACUACCCGCUGAACUUAAGCAUAUCAAUAAGCGGAGGAAAAGAAACUAACAAGGAUUCCCCUA
rnacentral:rRNA from 1 species